rnacentral:rRNA from 1 species
UUGCACGCUGGCGGCAGGCCUAACACCUGCAAGUCGAACGGUAACAGGGAUCAGCUUGCUGAUUCGCUGACGAGUGGCGGACGGGUGAGUAAUGUCUGGGAAACUGCCUGAUGGAGGGGGAUAACUACUGGAAACGGUAGCUAAUACCGCAUAACGUCGCAAGACCAAAGAGGGGGACCUUCGGGCCUCUUGCCAUCGGAUGUGCCCAGAUGGGAUUAGCUAGUAGGUGGGGUAACGGCUCACCUAGGCGACGAUCCCUAGCUGGUCUGAGAGGAUGACCAGCCACACUGGAACUGAGACACGGUCCAGACUCCUACGGGAGGCAGCAGUGGGGAAUAUUGCACAAUGGGCGCAAGCCUGAUGCAGCCAUGCCGCGUGUAUGAAGAAGGCCUUCGGGUUGUAAAGUACUUUCAGCGGGGAGGAAGGGAGUAAAGUUAAUACCUUUGCUCAUUGACGUUACCCGCAGAAGAAGCACCGGCUAACUCCGUG